rfam:Cyphomyrmex costatus contig14473, whole genome shotgun sequence.
AAAUCGGUUCUUUUAAGAGCCAUAUACAAUAUAUUUAUAAUGUCG